AGAGUUUGAUCCUGGCUCAGAACGAACGCUGGCGGCGUGGAUAAGACAUGCAAGUCGAGCGCUGAUUUCGGGGUAGCAAUAUUCCGGAGUCGGAGCGGCGCAAGGGUGCGUAACACGUGGGUAAUCUGCCAUGAAGUCUGGAAUAACUUGCUGAAAGGCGAGCUAAUACCGGAUGUGACGAUCGGGAGGCAUCUCCUGGUUUUUAAAGUUGGGGACCGUAAGGCCUGACGCUUCAUGAUGAACCCGCGGCCUAUCAGCUAGUUGGUGAGGUAACGGCCCACCAAGGCUAAGACGGGUAGCUGGUCUGAGAGGACGACCAGCCACACUGGAACUGAGACACGGUCCAGACGCCUACGGGUGGCAGCAGUCGAGAAUUUUUCACAAUGGGCGCAAGCCUGAUGGAGCGACGCCGCGUGGGGGAUGAAUGGCUUCGGCCCGUAAACCCCUGUCAUUCGCGAUCAAACCUGGUUAUUUAAAAGAUGACGAGCUGAUAGUAGCGGAAGAGGAAGGGACGGCUAACUCUGUGCCAGCAGCCGCGGUAAUACAGAGGUCCCAAGCGUUGUUCGGAUUCACUGGGCGUAAAGGGUGCGUAGGUGGUGAGGUAAGUCGGAUGUGAAAUCUCGGAGCUCAACUCCGAAAUGGCAUUGGAAACUACCUUGCUCGAGGAAUGGAGGGGGGACUGGAAUUCUCGGUGUAGCAGUGAAAUGCGUAGAUAUCGAGAGGAACACCAGUGGCGAAGGCGAGUCCCUGGACAUCUCCUGACACUGAGGCACGAAAGCUAGGGGAGCAAACAGGAUUAGAUACCCUGGUAGUCCUAGCCGUAAACGGUGCACGUUUUGCUGUAAAAGGAAUCGACCCCUUUUGUGGCGUAGCCAACGCGUUAAACGUGCCG
rnacentral:rRNA from 1 species